rnacentral:rRNA from 1 species
AUAUCAAUAAGCGGAGGAAAAGAAACCAACAGGGAUUGCCUCAGUAACGGCGAGUGAAGCGGCAAAAGCUCAAAUUUGAAAUCUAGUACCUUCGGUGCUCGAGUUGUAAUUUGAAGAUGGUAAUCCUGGCGCUGGCCCUUGUCUAUGUUCCUUGGAACAGGACGUCAUAGAGGGUGAGAAUCCCGUCUGAUGGGGUGUCCAGUGCUAUGUAGGAUGCUAUCGAAGAGUCGAGUUGUUUGGGAAUGCAGCUCUAAGUGGGUGGUAAAUUCCAUCUAAAGCUAAAUAUUGGCGAGAGACCGAUAGCGAACAAGUACAGUGAUGGAAAGAUGAAAAGAACUUUGAAAAGAGAGUGAAAAAGUACGUGAAAUUGUUGAAAGGGAAGGGUAUUAGAUCAGACUUGGUGUUUUAUGAUUAUCUUCUCUUCUUGAGUUGUGCACUCGUAUUUCACUGGGCCAGCAUCGAUUCGGAUGGUAAGAUAAUGACAUUGGAACGUGGCAUCAUUCGUGAUGUGUUAUAGCCUUUGUUGAUAUUGCCUAUCUGGAUCGAGGACUGCGGCUUCUGCCUAGGAUGCUGGCGUAAUGAUCUAAUAUCGC